rnacentral:misc_RNA from 1 species
UUUCCAGAACCUGGCAUUCCACUCCCAGUUACACACCUCCAACAUGGUUCCUCCUCACUUAGAUCCAUAGUGAAAACGUCACUCGAACGAAAUCGAAGGGGCCCACUCUUGGCCAAACCCCCAAACAUCAAUAUUUUCCUUCCACCAUAAACUGAAAGAGUAUGACCCAGCCGAGAAGGUGGGGUCCAUGCUACUGGUAUUUCCCUCCAAACAGGUUUUUCCAUUGAUAGAUCAAGCAGAAAUGUAUCACUAAGAAGUACUCCAGAAUCUGCACACCCACCAGAGACUAUCAACUUGGUGCCAUCAAGAGUGCAGGAACUAUGCCAUGAUCGUGGGAGUGGUGGAGCCAAUCCAGAAAUCUCACGCCAAGUUGGAGGCUUAGCAUCCAAAUCCAAAACAAAGACAUCAUUGAGUAAGCCUUGCCUUCCACAACCUCCAAACACCACCAAAUGAGACCCGUUAACACAAGAAAGUGUAUGACCCCACCGUCCAGGAGGAGGGGAGCUCACUUGGACAUGUUGCCACUCAGGGUUGCUGGAGUUCAAAUCCAACACAAAGGUGUCAUUCAUUGGUUGCAUGUUAACACCCUCCCCACCAAA